GCUGAUUAACCAUCCUAGCCUAACUGGCCUAGGGAGUGCACACCCGGCUCUUCUGUCCUCAGCAGCUCCUGCAAUGAGCACCGGUGCCUGUACUACCCCAUGACAGGACCUGGGAGAGCAAAAGCAAAGCCUUGGAAUCCCUGUGAGUUAUCCAGGAUCUCACGAAAUGCCGGACAGACGCAACCUAAUAAAGAAAAGAAGACAUACUUUGGCCCACAGUUUAAGGAUUUGGGGAUACCACCACCGUGGCUGCAGUAGCUUGAGAUAGUUAGCCAAGCACUGCAUCUGCAGCCGGGAAGCAGAGAGAUGGACGCCUGUGCUCAGCCUGCUUUGCUUUGCCUGGUCCAGGACCGCAGCUGAUCUCAAGCACCCCUACAGUUAGGGCAGGCUUCCAAGUGUAACUGGCUUGACCCACGCUACCAUCUCGUCAGCAAGAACGCACGCAGGACACUCGGAUCCGUCUGCAGUAAAGCUUUAAUGAAUCUCAAGAGAUAGAUGAUCAGCUUCAGGAGAGGAGACCCAGAGAGCAGAAAACCCUUCCCUUAUAUAGGCUGCGAAGUAAGU
rnacentral:lncRNA from 1 species